rnacentral:tRNA from 1 species
GCGAAAGUGGCGGAAUUGGCAGACGCGCUGGACUUAGGAUCCAGUAGGUUUCACCUGUAGGGGUUCGAGUCCCCUCUUUCGCACCA